rnacentral:rRNA from 1 species
GCAGUAGCCGCGGUAAAACGAAGGGUGCAAGCGUUAAUCGGAAUUACUGGGCGUAAAGCGUGCGUAGGCGGUUUGUUAAGUCUGCUGUGAAAUCCCCGGGCUCAACCAGGGAAUGGCAGUGGAUACUGGCAAGCUAGAGUGUGUCAGAGGAUGGUGGAAUUCCCGGUGUAGCGGUGAAAUGCGUAGGGAUCGGGAGGAACAUCAGUGGCGAAGGCGGCCAUCUGGGACAACACUGACGCUGAGGCACGAAAGCGUGGGGAGCAAACAGGAUUAGAUACCCCGGUAGUCCCUGUCUCUUAUAA